rnacentral:rRNA from 1 species
AACGAACGCUGGCGGCAGGCUUAACACAUGCAAGUCGAACGCCCCGCAAGGGGAGUGGCAGACGGGUGAGUAACGCGUGGGAAUCUACCCAGUUCUACGGAACAACUGAGGGAAACUUCAGCUAAUACCGUAUACGCCCUACGGGGGAAAGAUUUAUCGGAAUUGGAUGAGCCCGCGUUGGAUUAGCUAGUUGGUGAGGUAACGGCUCACCAAGGCGACGAUCCAUAGCUGGUCUGAGAGGAUGAUCAGCCACACUGGGACUGAGACACGGCCCAGACUCCUACGGGAGGCAGCAGUGGGGAAUAUUGGACAAUGGGCGAAAGCCUGAUCCAGCCAUGCCGCGUGAGUGAUGAAGGCCUUAGGGUUGUAAAGCUCUUUCAGUGGGGAAGAUAAUGACGGUACCCACAGAAGAAACCCCGGCUAACUUCGUGCCAGCCGCCGCAGUAAGAC